rnacentral:misc_RNA from 1 species
CUUGCAAUAGAGAAUACACAGAAGUCUGAGAAUUUCAUGAAACGUAAGAUGGCGUAAAUAACAUUUUGUACUAAAAUAGUUAACUCAAGAAUCUAAUCAAAAGAAUUAGCUCCAAAAGUUCACUCAAUCAUAUACAGAAAUUUAAACGUUUUAAAAAUAAUUUCUGAGAAACAGUGCAAUAAUGUAUCAGAUUAAAACCACAACAAAGAAAGAAGAAAAGUGAAAAGAAUUAUGAAAGAAAUAAGGAAAAGUUCAUGGCAUCUUAGAAUCAAGGCUUUAAUGAGAACCUACGAGCAAGAAACUUUACUCCUGGAGAGGGCAGGAUUAGCUAUUGAGAUUUUGCUUCUUGGUGAUGGGAAAACUAAUUAAAUAAGUUUAAAUUUUGACCAAAAAUACAAGAUAAAGCAUCUCAAGACAAUUCAGAAGCAUGCUAACAAGAUCAAGUCCAAUCAUUGAAUAAUGCAAGUGAAAACGCAUAAUGCAUCCUAUCAUCUAUAAAGCCAUCAAGCAUUUUAAAAAUGCAUCACCCAAGGCAAGCCUCAAAAAAGCUUCCUGCAAUUUUACAAGGUACUGAAUUCACUAAAAUAAAUAAAAAGAUAAAUAUCAUCUUAAGCCCUCAAGAUUAGAUGAAAAUGGCAAGGGCUUUAAAAUAUUAGAUUCAUUAUGUUAAGAUCCAUCAAUGAUGAGUAACUAAACAAUUAAUUAUAAUAAAGGUUGAAGUGGUAGAG